GAGGAGCAUGGAAAUGGUUGCGUACAUGUACCUAGACAUGCAAGAUAUUUUCAUCUAAAACUUCAAAGCCAAAGCCAUCUGGAGGGCUAUAAUCGACAGGAAAUACAUUUGUAAAUAUAUGCAAUUUAACCACCACAGAGUCAAAUUCCCUUCAAAAAAAUCAAAAUUCGAUCCAUUGUGCUAAUGAAUGGAAUAGACAGAACUAAUUGUGGUGUAAGAAGAAUAAGAACCUGUGAAGAUGAACCAAAAGUUCUUGAGCCACACUAUAUAACCUCUAAGCCUUUGCCAGCUUUACACUUUUUCUUAUCUUGGUAAUCGAUUCUUGCAAAAUGCAAAGAAUCGAAGCCA
rnacentral:lncRNA from 1 species